rnacentral:rRNA from 1 species
GACAGAGGGUGCAACGUUGUUCGGAAUUACUGGGCGUAAAGCGCGUGUAGGCGGCCCGGUAAGUCCGCUGUGAAAGUCAAGGGCUCAACCCUUGAAUGCCGGUUGAUACUGUCGGGCUAGAGUCCGGAAGAGGCGAGUGGAAUUCCCGGUGUAGCGGUGAAAUGCGCAGAGUAUCAAGGAGGAACACCGGUGGCGAAGGCGGGUCUCUGGGCAACUACUGACGCUGAGGAGCGAAAGCGUGGGGAGCGAACAGG